GAAUCAUCCCCUCCCUUCUCUGUGUUCUAUAAAUUUCUGUUAAGAGGGACCAACUGCCUCUUCUUGUUUUCUUGCCUCAGACUUGCCUCAUAUUGUUGUAUUUAGUUUCUCUCAUUAUGUCAUUUUGUUACACUAUUCUUUCUUUUUAAAGCUUAGUUUACAUUUACGUGAGCCACUUAUUCUUUCUCAAAGAAAAAGAAACUCUGCUGAAGAAAGGUGUGGAAUGUCCUAAACUGCAGGAGUGAGGGGAUAUUCCCAGUUUGAUUUAGUUAAUCAUCCCCCCACCUCCACAACAGGGAGAAGCCCAUGAUGGCUGCAACCACCAAUACCCCAGAGCUGGGUAAGUGGUCAAUCCCACAAACUGCAAUAAAUGAUUCCUAAAGACUUCUUAAUCAAUUGUUUCAGUUUCCCAAUAUAACUAGCUUAGUAGCUUAGUACAGAGUUCUGGUAGUAGUAGUAGUAGUAGUAGUAGUUGUAGUUUAUGAUAAUAAUAAUAAUAAUAAUUUAUUUAUACCCCGCCCAUCUGGCUGGGUUUCCCCAGCCACUCUGGGCAGCUUCCAACAAAAUAUUAAAAAUACAAUAAAAUACAUUUGACACUUAUCUGCAAAUUUGAUAAAUUAAUAGAUUAAGAUUUCAAAAUUCAAGUGACAGCCCCCAUUCUAAAACAUUAUUUACGUGUACUUUGCAGAAAGAUUGCACAACAAAUGUCAUAAAUAGCCUUCUCCUAUAGGUGUGCUGAGCCAAGCAGUUAGGAAAACUACAAGCUUUCCUUCAGUGUUGUUUUUUUAAUUCUCCCCUAUGAAUGAUUGCUUUAAGUUAAUUUUACAAUAACUUAAGAGUUUCCAUCAAUCUAGAACUCAUCAUUAAUGAAGUGUGCUGCUGUUGUUUUCUUUUCUUUGCUCGAUUCAUUUAAAAUGAGUAUCUUACACUGAAAUAAUUGUACACUGUCCAAUUUGAUGUAAUGUUUUUCUCCAUUAGGGUAGUUACAGAAUUACUCACAUCAAUAUUGCAUGCAAGGCAAGGAAGGGGAACCUGAGGCCUUCCAGAAGUUGUUGGACUACAAAUCUCAUCAGCUCCAGCCAGCAUCACCAAGGAUGAUGGGAAUUGUAGUCCAGCAAUCAAUUCUCUCCCAAAGUUGGGUGAAAAUACUGUAUGUGCCUUUCCAUGAUGACAGAAGCCCCAUAGCGAGGGACCAGCUGCAUCUUCAGAGAAAGGGAAUUCCAUAGUUGAGAUGCCAUUACUGAGAAGUCCCUACCCCAUGUCAUUAUACAACAGGCUACACCCAACAUUGAGAAGGGCCUUAUGAAUUAAUAUGAGGGUGUUGAAUUGGACCUGGUAACAUAUAGGCAACCAGUGAAGGUCCCUCAGAAUCUAAAAAAAAAAUCACCCAUUUCCCCAUGCUCAGGGCCUGUUCAGGACUGCCACAGAAUUUACACCUCUGUUGCAAAUGCUAAAGUAUCUGUUUAAUAACUGCCAGUUAAAAUGAGUAGUUUGAAAGGUAAGAACCUUCCGCCCAAAAAAAUCAAAAUAAAAAAUCAAUAGAUUAUGAUACACUGAUUUAUCAAGAUUUUUUUUUCUAAUUCUUUCAUGGUAGAAAGCAUGAGGGAAAGAGAAGGAGGGAGGAAGAAAGCAAAGUCAGCCACAGAGUGUCAGUUUACCUUCCUCUCUUUUUCUCCCUGGAGGGAAAUAUUCAAUUUAUCUUUGAGGGUAAAUGUUGAUGCAACAAAUAGUCAUUAUGUAACUAUGCUCAGCUCAGGAAAACCUGAAAUGGAUUUUCAGGCUAUUUGUCAAGUUAUUCCUUCAAGCAGGACACUUGGUAUGGAUUUUUUAAAAGCUGACCCUGCUCAAAAUACACUGAGCUCCACUGUAGAGUGAACAUAGCAGCAUGUGCUAUAAUGUAAAAUUACUUAUUAUUGCUUAAAACAAUAAUAAAAUGAUCAGCUUGACAGUAAAGAGUAAUUGCAUGCAAAAGGCACACUUCUAAUAAACAAAUACUGUAUUAGGAUUAACAAAACCGUUUUGUAUUUGUCUUCAGUGUGUUGACCUAAUACUCUUUCCACAAGGGCCAACAUUGAUGCUAAAAUCCAGAAUCACCUGAGCUCUGCGAGUGCGGCUUUCUCCCGAUUGAAGUGCAGAGUGUAUGAGGACUGGGACAUUCGCAGGGAAACCAAAAUGCUUGUUUACAAAGCUAUAGUACUCCCAACCUUACUGUAUGCUUGUGAAACAUGGACCACUUAUAAACGCCAUCUCCAACUCCUUGAAAGAUUCCAUCAGCGGUGUCUCCAAAAAAUUUUACACAUCACUUCGGAAGACAAGCAAACUAAUGGUAGUGUACUGGAAGAAGCAAAGAUCACCAGUGUUGAAGCAAUGAUUCUUCAACAUCAACUUCAUUGGACUGGUCAUGUUGUUCGGAUGCCUGAUUAUCAUAUUCCAAAGCAACCACUCUUUUCUGAACUUAAAAAUGGAAAGUGUAAUGCUGGUGGUCAACAAAAGAGGUUUAAAGACUAUCUCAUGGCAAAUUUUAAAAAAUGUGGUAUAAACACCAACAAUUGGGAAACCCUUGCCUGCGAGCACUCCAAUUGGAGAACAGCCUUUACCAAAGGUGUCAUGGGCUUUGAAGGCACUCAAACUCAGGACACAAGGGAGAAAGGUGCUAAGAGGAAGGCAUGCUUGGCAAAUCCACACCUUGAUCAACUCCUACCCAGAAACCAAUGUCCCCACUGUGGAAGGAUGUGUGGAUCCAGAAUUGGCCACCACAGUCACUUAUGGACUCAUUGUUAAAACCGUGUUUAUGGAAGACAAUCAUACUCAGUUACGAGUGAUCGCCAAAGAAAAAGACUUAAUUUACACUUUCCUUGAGGCUGGAGGAUCUCAAACAAUCUAAAUGAAUUGUUUCCUGCAAUAAAUGCUUUAAAAGUUACCUUGAGGGUAACUUAAUACAAAUGUGUAUUUUGCUGGACAAUCUACCAUGAAGAAAUUCCCUAACAGCUUUGGGACCCUGAACUCAACCCUCACCUAGCUUAAUUAGGUAAUUAGGUAAUCUCCCACAGAAGAAAAUAUUGUUCAGAAAGAAAUAAAAGCAUCCAUAAUGUUUUGGGCUAGGUCCUGGUUGCAGAACAGAACCAAUAACAGGAUGGGUAAUACUAUGUCUUGCAAUGGUUAAAAACAACUAGGUGAGAACUAGGCUAGGUGAGAAUUGACUUCAUGGUCCCAAAUCUCUUAUGGAAUUGUAAAAACAAAAGGGGGCUACUAACAGCAACAUUUGAGCAAAAGUGCAGAUAAUCAGCUACAAAUUCACUCUUAAAAAUGUUGGAUCAAUCAGCCACAAUAACACUAAAAAUGCCAAGUGUGGAAAGGCUCUAGCUAAGGAAGAGUCAACGGCAACUGGUCUCUCAGCUAAGUUGAUGGCUUUACAGUAACAGGCAUGAAUAAGCCACAAAGCUAAUGCAAGGAAACCACUUACAGUGGUUUGUUUUCCUGCCCAAAGUUUGAACUGAAAAUACAAUCUGACAUCAUUAGCAAGCCAGUAGCUGAUAUGUGGCAUCAGCUGAAUGUAGAUCUUCUGUAUUUGUUAAAGUACAAUAAUCUAUGCAUCACGACUUUUCAGUGGUGACCUACUGGUUAAGGAGUGCUUCUCUGAAGAGUUUGUCUGAUCUUUUCAGCACCAGGUAAAACACUCCCCCCCCCCAAAGCUUUUGAAAUAUGAACUUUUGUAUUCCCUGAAUUUGACAUCUAUUGUAUGCUUUUAAUGUAUUUCUCUGGAAACUCCAUAGCUCAGUGUUAGAGCAUCUGCUUUGCAUGCAGAACGUUCCAGAAGGUACCUGACCCCUUCAGGUAGGUCUAGGAAAGAUCCCUGCCUGAAACCCUGGGUUGUAGACAAUACUGACUUAGAUGAACCAACUAAGUACAAGUGCUGCUUCCAUUUUGAUGUUGAUUUUUCGGUGCAGCAAUUUAUUUACUAUUUUUGGUUUCUUCCGCAUCUAUACUGUAUUUGCAUGUUUAUUGUUGGUAACCCACCCAGAAAAUACCAAUACCAAAUGGCAUAUAAAUAUUGUUAAUAAUAAAAUGUGAAAAUUCUGGAAUGAGGUACAUACUAUAAAUUAGUUGUUUUCUGGUUUGUGUCAAAGCACAUGUUUUGAAAGAAAUUAUUUUUAAAAAAAGAAGAUUGGGAGAGAGGAGAUACAAAUCAGCACAGGAACCAGUAAUACAGAACUAUACCUCAAAGGUUUUAUAAAUUUGUAUGUUUGCUCAUGUAAUAAACUGCACCAUAAUCAGGAGAGAUUUGAUUUAUUGCCUGGUUUGACUAACAUCACAAUCCCAUUUCCAUCUCUGAG